CUGGUGGCCUGGAUCCAGGUUGGGAGCCUCGGAACCUUGCUGGGUUCGGAGGAAACGGUGCCGCCUGGCUUGCCCCAACCCAGACACUCUGCUUGCCCUCGGCUGGCUGGACCGGAGAAAGCCCCUUUGUGGCUCGAUGCUCCCGGCACUCAGAUUUUUCUCGCAAACAGAGUCUUUGUUGUUCUCACCCCAUCUCACUGCCCAGUUUUCUGUUCCAGUUUUGUUUCCUCACCAGGCCCAAUCUGUGCUCGCGUUCUACUAAUAGGAGGCAGCGCAGGGUGUUUUUCAUCUCCCUCCUCCCUCCCGGGUCACCCAGGAAAUGUGUCAAGGUCUGGACUCUGCAGGUGUGGAGCAGUGCUGCCAUCUGUCCAGAAGAGGGCGCGAUCUGCAUUCUUCAGAACUG
rnacentral:lncRNA from 1 species